AGUGAACGCUGGCGGCGUGCUUAACACAUGCAAGUCGAACGGAUCAAAGUAGCUUGCUAUUUUGGUUAGUGGCGCACGGGUGAGUAAUGUAUAGCUAACCUGCCCUCUAGUGGGGGACAACAGUUGGAAACGACUGCUAAUACCCCAUACUCCUUCUUGCCAAAAGGUGAGUCGGGAAAGAUUUAUUGCUAAAGGAUGGGGCUUUAUGGUAUCAGCUAGUUGGUGAGGUAAUGGCUCACCAAGGCUAUGACGCCUACCUGGUCUGAGAGGAUGAUCAGGCACACUGGAACUGAGACACGGUCCAGACUCCUACGGGAGGCAGCAGUGGGGAAUAUUGCACAAUGGAGGAAACUCUGAUGCAGCAACGCCGCGUGGAGGAUGACGCAUUUCGGUGCGUAAACUCCUUUUAUAAGGGAAGAUAAUGACGGUACCUUAUGAAUAAGCACCGGCUAACUCCGUGCCAGCCGCCGCCGUAA
rnacentral:rRNA from 1 species